GAUGAACGCUGGCGGCGUGCCUAAUACAUGCAAGUCGAGCGAACAGACGAGGAGCUUGCUCCUCUGACGUUAUCGGCGGACGGGUGAUUAACACGUGGAUAACCUACCUAUAAGACUGGGAUAACUUCGGGAAACCGUAUCUAAUACCGGAUAAUAUAUUGAACCUCAUGGUUCAAUAGUUAAAGUCGGUUUUUCUGUCACUUAUAGCUUGAUCCGCGCCGCAUUAGCUAGUUGGUAAGGUAACGGCUUACCAAGGCAAGGAUGCGUAGCCGACCUGAGAGGGUGAUCGGACACACUGGAACUGAGACACGGUCCAGACUCCUACGGGAGGCAGCAGUAGGGAAUCUUCCGCAAUGGGCGAAAGCCUGACGGAGGAACGCCGCGUGAGUGAUGAAGGUCUUAGGAUCGUAAAACUAUGUUAGUAGGGAAGAACAAAUGUGUAAGUAACUAUGAACGUCUUGACGGUACCUAAUCAGAAAGCCACGGCUAACUACGUG
rnacentral:rRNA from 1 species